CUUGGUCAUUUAGAGGAAGUAAAAGUCGUAACAAGGUCUCCGUAGGUGAACCUGCGGAGGGAUCAUUACAAGUGACCCCGGUCUAACCACCGGGAUGUUCAUAACCCUUUGUUGUCCGACUCUGUUGCCUCCGGGGCGACCCUGCCUUCGGGCGGGGGCUCCGGGUGGACACUUCAAACUCUUGCGUAACUUUGCAGUCUGAGUAAACUUAAUUAAUAAAUUAAAACUUUUAACAACGGAUCUCUUGGUUCUGGCAUCGAUGAAGAACGCAGCGAAAUGCGAUAAGUAAUGUGAAUUGCAGAAUUCAGUGAAUCAUCGAAUCUUUGAACGCACAUUGCGCCCCCUGGUAUUCCGGGGGGCAUGCCUGUUCGAGCGUCAUUUCACCACUCAAGCCUCGCUUGGUGUUGGGCAACGCGGUCCGCCGCGUGCCUCAAAUCGACCGGCUGGGUCUUCUGUCCCCUAAGCGUUGUGGAAACUAUUCGCUAAAGGGUGUUCGGGAGGCUACGCCGUAAAACAACCCCAUUUCUAAGGUUGACCUCGGAUCAGGUAGGGAUACCCGCUGAACUUAAGCAUAUCAAUAAGCGGAGGA
rnacentral:rRNA from 1 species